rnacentral:rRNA from 1 species
UGAGGAAUAUUGGACAAUGGAUGGAAAUCUGAUCCAGCCAUGCCGCGUGCAGGAAGACGGCCCUAUGGGUUGUAAACUGCUUUUGUAUGGGAGCAAUAAGGACUACGUGUAGUUUGAUGAGAGUACCAUACGAAUAAGCAUCGGCUAACUCCGUGCCAGCAGCCGCGGUAAUACGGAGGAUGCGAGCGUUAUCCGGAUUUAUUGGGUUUAAAGGGUGCGUAGGCGGUGAUAUAAGUCAGUGGUGAAAUAUUUCGGCUUAACCGAGAGACUGCCAUUGAUACUGUGUUGCUAGAAUAUGGUUGCUGUGAGUGGAAUGUGUGGUGUAGCGGUGAAAUGCUUAGAUAUCACACAGAAUAUCGAUUGCGAAGGCAGCUCACAAAGCCAUUAUUGACGCUGAGGCACGAAAGUGUGGGGAUCAAACA